rnacentral:rRNA from 1 species
AGAGUUUGAUCCUGGCUCAGGACGAACGCUGGCGGCGUGCCUAAUACAUGCAAGUCGAACGAAACUUUCUUACACCGAAUGCUUACAUUCACCGUAAGAAGUUGAGUGGCGGACGGGUGAGUAACACGUGGGUAACCUGCCUAAAAGAAGGGGAUAACACUUGGAAACAGGUGCUAAUACCGUAUAUCUCUAAGGAUCGCAUGAUUCUUAGAUGAAAGAUGGUUCUGCUAUCGCUUUUAGAUGGACCCGCGGCGUAUUAACUAGUUGGUGGGGUAACGGCCUACCAAGGUGAUGAUACGUAGCCGAACUGAGAGGUUGAUCGGCCACAUUGGGACUGAGACACGGCCCAAACUCCUACGGGAGGCAGCAGUAGGGAAUCUUCCACAAUGGACGCAAGUCUGAUGGAGCAACGCCGCGUGAGUGAAGAAGGUCUUCGGAUCGUAAAACUCUGUUGUUAGAGAAGAACACGAGUGAGAGUAACUGUUCAUUCGAUGACGGUAUCUAACCAGCAAGUCACGGCUAACUACGUGCCAGCAGCCGCGGUAAUACGUAGGUGGCAAGCGUUGUCCGGAUUUAUUGGGCGUAAAGGGAACGCAGGCGGUCUUUUAAGUCUGAUGUGAAAGCCUUCGGCUUAACCGGAGUAGUGCAUUGGAAACUGGAAGACUUGAGUGCAGAAGAGGAGAGUGGAACUCCAUGUGUAGCGGUGAAAUGCGUAGAUAUAUGGAAGAACACCAGUGGCGAAAGCGGCUCUCUGGUCUGUAACUGACGCUGAGGUUCGAAAGCGUGGGUAGCAAACAGGAUUAGAUACCCUGGUAGUCCACGCCGUAAACGAUGAAUGCUAGGUGUUGGAGGGUUUCCGCCCUUCAGUGCCGCAGCUCACGCCAUAAGCAUUCCGCCUGGGGA